AAAGAUUCAUUUUUUCCUUGUUUUGUGUAUUGCAGCCAUUGCUACUUUCAUGCUUUUGAAAAAAAAAAAUUUAUUUUAAAAAAAAAACCUAAAAUAGACAUUUUUAUCCCCACUGUGUUCUUCAAAGCCAAAUUGCAUGUUGAAGAUAUGAAUUUUUUUUUUCCCUUUUUUUUUAAUCGUAAACAUUGAGAUGUGAAACCCAAAUUUCUACGAACUUCUUUUCAAUUAAAGAAAUUUAUAAAGCUUUAUCAUAGUUAUGGAGUGACCAUAGUCACCAUAGCAUAGUCAAAUCACUGUAAUGAGAAAACAAAAAUCGUGUAUUUUUUUGAUACCUGCUAAGUAGGUGUGAUGUUUAAGCAUUUAAUGAAUAAAUUUAAAUAGUAUAUUUGUCGCCAUACCAUAGUUAAAGUAUUUACUGAAUAAAUUUAUAUAGUAUAGUUGUUUUGAUACGUAAUAAGUAAGUGUGAUGUUUCUUAAAGUAUUGAACGGGUAGAUUGUGAUGUUUCUUAAAGUAUUGAAUGGGUAGAUUGUGAUGUUUCUUAAAGUAUUGAAUGGGUAG
rnacentral:lncRNA from 1 species